AUUGAGGUGUAUUGUAUAAUUUUCUAAUUAUAAUAAUAAUAAAGAAAAAGAAAAGAAGAAAGUUUGAAUUUUAUUUUGUUAUAAGAUUUGGCCUCUCCUUUUUCACUCCAAAAUAUCAAAAAAGUUCUUCUUGUUCUUGUUUUUCUUUUGUUCUUCAGACAAGUACAAAUACAGUUCUUAGUUGCCUCUCUCAUAUUCUCUUUUCCCAAAUUCUUUCUCUGCCGGCGCCUCUGUUCUCCCAUCAAUCCACUUUUCCGGUGAAGAAUUUCCCAUAAUGUCUUGGUGCACAAUUGAAUCUGAUCCAGGGGUGUUCACAGAACUUAUACAACAAAUGCAAGUUAAAGGUGUACAGGUUGAGGAGUUAUAUUCAUUGGACUUCGAUUCUCUAAAAGAUCUGUGGCCUGUAUAUGGGUUGAUUUUCUUAUUCAAAUGGCGUCCAGGGGAAUAUGAUUACCGACGUGUUAUUGAAGAUCCAAACCCCAACCUGUUUUUCGCAAGCCAGGUUAUCAAUAAUGCUUGUGCAACCCAGGCAAUAUUGUCCAUACUGUUGAACUGUUCUGAUAUUGACAUUGGCCCCGAACUAUCGAAAUUAAAAGAUUUCACAAAGACUUUUCCUCCUGAACUCAAAGGUUUGGCCAUAAAUAACAGUGAAACCAUACGUCUGGCGCAUAAUAGCUUUGCUCGACCUGAGCCUUUCAUUCCCGAGGAGCAGAAGGCAGCGGAAAAAGACGAUGAUGUGUUCCAUUUCAUAAGCUAUUUGCCUGUCGAUGGCGUGCUGUAUGAGCUUGAUGGAUUGAAGGAGGGACCCAUUAGUCUUGGACAGUGCUCGGGUGGCAAGGAUUGGUUGCAGAUGUUGCAACCGGUGAUCCAGGAACGCAUUGAAAAAUACUCCCAGAGUGAGAUUAGAUUCAAUUUAAUGGCAGUUAUCAAGAACAGAAAAGAGACUUAUACUAUUGAGCUGAAGGAGCUGCAGAGGAGGAGGGAGGGUAUUUUGCAGCAGUUGAACGCAGCACGGGUGGAAAGACCGAUAGACGUUAGCAAAUUUGAACUUCUGAACAAAUCUCUUUCAGAAGUAAAUUCAGGGAUUGAGGCUGCUACUGACAAGAUUGUGAUGGAGGAGGAGAAGUUCAAGAAUUGGAGAACCGAAAAUAUUCGAAGGAAACACAACUACAUACCGUUUUUGUUCAACUUUCUCAAGAUUCUUGCUGAGAAGAAGCAGUUGAAACCACUUAUUGAGAAAGCAAAGCACAAGGCUGGAGGUACUAGCACUAGAUUUAUCCCAUUCUGAUCUUGAUAUUUCCAAAUCAAACAAAAAAAUUUUGAGCAAGACUAGGAGGGCCAAGGCAACAAACAAAACCCACCAAAGAGAUUGUACAAAUACAAUGAUGUUGGUUUACAAGAGAUUUGUGCUAUAGGAUGCUUUACCUUUGUUAGAGUAGCAAUUUUUUGUGGCUAGGAAGCCCUCGCCAUCCGCCAAUAAAUAACGGUAACUAGCAGACUUUUUAGAAAAGAAUGGCUAUAAGAACUUAAGUAAUGACUAUAAAUUGGAAUUCAAUCAGCACCCAGCAGAAAGGCAACAUUUGAAUACUAAAAGAAGUUAACAUUGAGCACCAUGGAGUUGCACAAUAUAUUUAUGAGAGAGUGCCUACUGCAGAUGCAGCAAGCUAGAUACUCAAGAUGAGUGUCAAAUACCUGUUUUCUCAAAGUUAUUAUACAUAUAAAGAAAAAAAAAAGCAUUACCUUUUCUAGUUUCAUUUCCCAAUAUGAAUUCAAAAGCUUCAAUAAGCAUAAAACUCUACAGUUCCCCCUAUAGAUCGUAUCAUCACAUAUGAACAGGACACAAAACAGUUCAAUUUCUGCAAUUUCAAAAUUGUGUUGUAAUGAUAGGCAAGGACUUCCCUGA